rnacentral:rRNA from 1 species
UACGAAGGGGGGCUAGCGUUGCUCGGAAUCACUGGGCGUAAAGGGUGCGUAGGCGGGUCUUUAAGUCAGGGGUGAAAUCCUGGAGCUCAACUCCAGAACUGCCUUUGAUACUGAAGAUCUUGAGUUCGGUAGAGGUGAGUGGAACUGCGAGUGUAGAGGUGAAAUUCGUAGAUAUUCGCAAGAACACCAGUGGCGAAGGCGGCUCACUGGCCCGAUACUGACGCUGAUGCACGAAAGCGUGGGGAGCAAACAGG